rnacentral:rRNA from 1 species
UACGAAGGGGGCUAGCGUUGCUCGGAAUUACUGGGCGUAAAGCGCACGUAGGCGGCUUUCUAAGUCGGGGGUGAAAUCCUGGAGCUCAACUCCAGAACUGCCUUCGAUACUGGAGAGCUUGAGUCCGGGAGAGGUGAGUGGAACUGCGAGUGUAGAGGUGAAAUUCGUAGAUAUUCGCAAGAACACCAGUGGCGAAAGGCGGCUCACUGGCCCGGUACUGACGCUGAGGUGCGAAAGCGUGGGGAGCAAACAGG